GACGAACGCUGGCGGCGCGCUUAACACAUGCAAGUCGAGCGAGAACCGAGGCUUCGGCCUCGGGGACAGCGGCGAACGGGUGAGUAACACGUGGAUACCCUGCCCUCGGCACCGGGAUAGCCCGGGGAAACCCGGAUUAAUACCGGAUGGCCCUUCCGACUCUCGGGUCGGUCGGGAAAGGUAGCUUCGGCCUCCGGCCGGGGAUGGGUCCGCGGCGGAUUAGCUUGUUGGUGGGGUAACGGCCCACCAAGGCUCCGAUCCGUAGCUGGUCUGAGAGGACGAUCAGCCACACUGGGACUGAGACACGGCCCAGACUCCUACGGGAGGCAGCAGUGGGGAAUCUUGCGCAAUGGGCGAAAGCCUGACGCAGCGACGCCGCGUGAGGGAAGAAGGCCUUCGGGUUGUAAACCUCUUUCAGCGGGGACGAAGCUACUCGGGUGAACAGCCCAGAGGGUGACGGUACCUGUAGAAGAAGCCCCGGCUAACUACGUGCCAGCCGCCGCGGUAAAAC
rnacentral:rRNA from 1 species